UGGGGUUUUGGCUCAGUGGUAGAACGCUAGCCUCGGCCUUACAGGACGUGCGAGACCCUGAGUUCGAUCCUCAGCACCACAU
rnacentral:tRNA from 1 species